ACGAAACUCCACACACCUGCCACAGCCCAUGAAUCACCUUAAACGGUCAUCAUCGUCUGAUUUGCUGCUAAAUUUGUGGAAGCUAUGAUACACUACCAUUCAAAAGUAUGGGACCCCCUUCUCGCCCACCUGGACUGGGCUGGACCUCCUGCAGCUUGGACGACCACCACGUGUUAGACUUCACUGGUUUGGAACCACUGAGGCAUCUCUGGUUUAAACUGAGGAAGCGAAGGGGGAAAAAUACUUUCUUUCAUAUCUCAAAUCACCAAGACAGAAUUAAGCACUAAGCCAGCACACACAAUAAAGCCACAUCUCCACAUGAUCA
ensembl:lncRNA